GGGCGAGUGGCGAAAUGGUAGACGCGCUAGUCUUAGGAACUAGUAGGCAACCCCUGUGAGAGUUCGAAUCUCUCCUCGCCCA
rfam:Candidatus Melainabacteria bacterium GWF2_37_15 gwf2_scaffold_681, whole genome shotgun sequence.